CACCAGACAUGCCAUUAUUCCCUUCCACUCAGGGGGAAAAUGCAUAAGGUGAUAGAGGUUGAAGUGCUGCACUAAUAGGACCCUUUUCACACUGAGGGAAAAAAAAUAAGGCAAUAAAAAUUCCCCAAAAGCCGUUCCUCCAAUUUUUCUUCUAAUAGCCCAUUGGGCUUAACCAUUAAGCUUUUAGUCAACGAGAGAUCCAUCUGUCUCCCAUCAGUGAAGGAUAUCAGUAGUUUCCAGUAGGUCAGCUUCCUCUCCCCACACCACAAACCCUUUGUGAUGCUAUACAACCAAUACCAACCACUGCCCCAAUGGAAUAUUCUUCAGGAACCCAGUAGGCAAUGCCUUGGAAAGCAUAAGACAUUAAUUAAACCAGUCCCAAGCUAUUCUUAACUCAAGGCUAAAUAUGUAUUCACUAUUCACUUCCCAUUUCAAAUUAUGUCUAGCCAUGUUGUCCAGUAGAGCCCACAAGAGAUUUAAUGAGAUUAAAUUUCAACAUUAAUACAUUCAAGUUAAAAAAGAUGUCAAAAUAGAAAUGUCCUAAAUUUGGAUGUAAACCUCCUCCACGUAUCUAACUCCCAG
rnacentral:lncRNA from 1 species